UUCAUUUUUUUGCAAAUAUUUUGAGAAUGUUUAUUAUAAAAAUAUAAAUGUUUCCACUACAAAUCAUUUUACAUUAGUAGACAAGGCUUUUACGCACGCAAGCACGUCGUACGCACACACUCGCAUGCCCACACACACAAGCAUACACACGUACCGGCGCACACACACACAUUCAUCUAAAAAAAGCAAAAAGAGUAAGGAUGGGGUGCAUAACAGUAUUGCUCUUCCACACUGAAAACGCUGUCACAGAACCAACCAUGUCAUAGAUUACAGUAUGCUACAAAAAAAACAUUACACUUUUGCACAGUAUAUGUUAACAAUAAAUAAUAAUUAUUAUAAUUGCUUUUCUUUUAUGUAAAAAAACAAAUAUAAUACAAAAUAACAUGAAAUAUAAUACAAAGAAUGUUUGUCUUUUUAAAAUGUUGCACAGAUAUUUCUGUUCAUUCUUUUAUACAUAGAACCAUUUGUACAAAGGGAUGGCUAUGGAAGAGGACUGUCCUGCUUGUAGAUAUGGACACACAGUUGUUUUACAUAUGUACAUGCCAUACAGAACACGUAACAGCAGCUAAGGGCGGGCAGGGGAUGGACGGAGGUGUUAUCACACACACGCACACAGACACAUACAAACAACACACACAUACACAUCCACUAUUCAGAUCAGGGAGAAUCCUUAUCUACUGUAGCGAUGCAAUACACUCAGACACUCGCUUUAUCUAGAGAGGUGUGAUAUAUACCCACCAGUGUUAGAAGAUAGCAUUGGAAGAGCUGUGGGAUAGUGUUGUUCAUUUUCAUCUUCUACCUUACAGAGCAGAAUACGCUCUGAAGAAGCCUCGCUCUCUCUCCAUCUUUUUCAUUAUCUCUACAGCUCUCUCUCUACAUCUCUCUCUCUACUUCUACCUCUCUCCCUCUCCUUUCUCUCUAUCCUGUUUCAGUUUGAAUGAAUAACACACAUCCUGAGAUUUCACAUUAGGACUAGGAACUAGGAAGCUUGGAGUUAUGCAUCAUCACCUACUGUAUGAUAAGCAGACAGGUGGUAGUUAGAUACAGUUCUGUAUGAUAAGCAGACAGGUGGUAGUUAGAUACAGUUCUGUAUGAUAAGCAGACAGGUGGUAGUUAGAUACAGUUCUGUAUGAUAAGCAGACAGGUGGUAGUUAGUUACAGUUCUGUAUGAUAAGCAGAAGGGUGGUAGUUAGUUACAGUUCUGUAUGAUAAGCAGACAGGUGGUAGUUAGUUACAGUUCUCUAUGAUAAGCAGACAGGUGGUAGUUAGUUACAGUUCUGUAUGAUAAGCAGACAGAUGGUAGGUAGUUACAGUUCUGUAUGAUAAGCAGACAGGUGGUAGUUAGUUACAGUUCUCUAUGAUAAGCAGACAGGUGGUAGUUAGUUACAGUUCUGUAUGAUAAGCAGAAGGGUGGUAGUUAGUUACAGUUCUGUAUGAUAAGCAGACAGGUGGUAGUUAGUUACAGUUC